AACGGCUAUACCAUGCUGAAUAUACCGGUUCUCGUUAGAUCACCAAAGUCAAGCAUCAUCGAAGUCAGUACUUGUGUGGGUGACCUCCUGGGAACACC